GAGGAUAGGACAAAUUUUACAAGUGAGACAAAUGAAGUAGCCAACCAUUAUCGUUAGAGAAGCUGAAGACUCCUUGAGGGCAGAUACUAGAGGCACAAGGUCCAGAUGUGAGCUCCUGGAAACAAUUUGGGAGGAAGUGAACAUCUGAAAGAACUGCAAAAUGAACCUUACAUUCUACCAGAUAAACAGGAUGCUGUUAAAGAACACUACUAAAGGGUACAGCAAAAGGAUGUGGCUAAGGAUGCUUCUAAAGGAUGCUGCUAAAGGAUGAUGCUAAAGGGUGCUUCUAAAGGAUGCUGCUAGAGGAUGAUGCUAGAGGGUGCUUCUAAGGUUACUAGAAUUAUGCCAAUAUGACUGCACUGACAGCUUGGGAGGUUUACAUCAAGCAAAGACAAGACACUGAAAACAUAACCAAGAGAAAAAAAUGCAAUGCAUUUAGAUGCAUUCAGUAUGUUUAAAUUCAUGAAGUCCUGAUAUACUAUUAAAGACUCUACCUUGGCCACUUCA